AGAGGGGUGCAAGCGUUAAUCGGAAUUACUGGGCGUAAAGGGCGCGUAGGUGGUUGAUUAAGUUAGAUGUGAAAUCCCUAGGGCUUAACCUAGGACGUGCAUUUAAAACUGGUUGACUAGAGUUUGGGAGAGGGAAGUGGAAUUUUCGGUGUAGCGGUGAAAUGCGUAGAUAUCGGAAGGAACAUCAGUGGCGAAGGCGACUUCCUGGACCAAUACUGACACUGAGGCGCGAAAGCGUGGGUAGCGAACAGGAUUAGAUACCCUGGUAGUCCACGCAGUAAACGAUGAGAACUAGAUGUUAGGGAGCUUGACUUCUUAGUAUCGCAGCUAACGCAUUAAGUUCUCCGCCUGAGGAGUACGGUCGCAAAGAUUA
rnacentral:rRNA from 1 species